UUGCUCCACCGGAAAAAGAGGAGUGGCGAACGGGUGAGUAACACGUGGGUAACCUGCCCAUCAGAAGGGGAUAACACUUGGAAACAGGUGCUAAUACCGUAUAACAAUCGAAACCGCAUGGUUUUGAUUUGAAAGGCGCUUUCGGGUGUCGCUGAUGGAUGGACCCGCGGUGCAUUAGCUAGUUGGUGAGGUAACGGCUCACCAAGGCCACGAUGCAUAGCCGACCUGAGAGGGUGAUCGGCCACAUUGGGACUGAGACACGGCCCAAACUCCUACGGGAGGCAGCAGUAGGGAAUCUUCGGCGAUGGACGAAAGUCUGACCGAGCAACGCCGCGUGAGUGAAGAAGGUUUUCGGAUCAUAAAACUCUGUUGUUAGAGAACAACAAGGAUGAUAGUAACU
rnacentral:rRNA from 1 species